CUGACCUGGAAGGGCACCUCCAGGCUGGCCUGGUUGCAGGAGAGUGGCUCUGGGGAAGCUGCCCCCAUCCAGGGCCUUUGCAACAUGGCCCCAGGGCUUCUGCAGGGUGGCUCUGUGGCCUCCCCUGCGGCCCCUCCUCUAGGAACCUCCAGCGCUCUGGCCUGCCUGGGUUUCCCCCUCCUCUGGCAGACCCUGCCACAGUCCUCGGACUUCCACGUUCUCAGUGGUUGUGGAGUCUCGCGUUUUGGUUGCUGUUGUGACAGUGUCCUCCUGUCCCCUAGACACCUCCUGCUCUGCCCCCGGCACACCGUGGGCCAGGCUGGGUGCUGGCCAUCACUGCGGUCUCUGUGGUUGUGCGGGGAGGCCAGCUGCUCAUCUUCCUGCUAUUGCUUGCAUACACUGUCCAGAUGGUGGGAUGUGCUGGCCUCGGCCUGGGCCUGGUGCUAGACCUUGACCCUGACCCUGGGGACAGGUGGGCUGGAUGCCCAUGUACCCUCUGCACUCACCUGGCCUCCACUUUGGGAGCUUCCACCCCUGGCAACCUGUGUGCAUGGGUACACUCUGGCCUCAUGAGGUUCCAUUUCUGAGAGACCUGCUGGGUGGACACCGAGGCCUAGCGGGGAAGAAUCGGCUGGAGAUCACACAGUCCACUAGUGUGCGAGCCUGGUUCUGCCCAGACCCCCUGCUUCUCAGCCAGGGAGGCUGAGCAGAAACACACGCAUGUGCGUAGAAGGGACCUUCUAGAGGUGAGCUCAGUGGUCUCCUGCUGUUGGAUGCUUACCCUUCCGGAAUGUUCUGGUGCUCUCAUGCUCUUCCUGACACUUGGAGACAUCACAGCUCACUCGCCUUCCAGCCAAGCCUGGGCCCUCUUUCCCAGACAUUGUCCAUGGAGCUGUCCAUUCUUUCUGUCCCUGGCUCUGGACCCCUGAUCGGGCAGGGCUGCUGGGCAUGCCGGCUCUUCUCCUGGGGAUCUCACUGGUCGGGCCCCCGUGCGCCUUCUGCCCAACCUUUUCCAAGUAUUUCUCCCAAGCAGAGAGUCAGAACGGGAACUGCUGGGCCACAGGACCUGUGCCUUGGGGGUCUUAGCUUCCAGGGAACCUGACAGGGCUUGGGGCCUCCGAGCAGGAGGGUGUGAGGACCGUCUGGGUCCCAGGACACUCUUCUCCCAGCAGAAGUUGCCACCUGGUGAGUGGACUGGGCGGUCUGUUUCCUUCCAGAAACUCUGCCACCAAGCAGAUGGCUCUGCCUCAGACUGUCCUCUGCACCAGGGACCCUGAUGAGAGGGAGGCGGCAGACUGGUGCCUGGCAGGGACGGAAGGCUCC
rnacentral:lncRNA from 1 species